GGGGUUGUAGCUCAGUGGUAGAGUGCUCGCCUAACAUGUGUGAGUCACUGGGUUUGAUCCUCAGCACCA
rnacentral:tRNA from 1 species